AUACAUACUUGCUAGGUUAGUUGGGGUAUAUACAUCCUCGACCAAGAACACAUUACCGCACUCCUACCGACUGCAUAGCUGUUAAGCGUUCUUAAGGAGGUUCGAAUCAUGGGCAGUCUCCGGAGGAGGUCUUGUAGGAUUGUAAAGGUUUCCGUGGCACUGCUUGGUCUAUGGUGUGUUUUCAGCUACCUUGGGUUUUCACGAACAAAAACAGAUAUCGUGAAAUGUGAACACAGGAAAAGUGAAAACACAACAGUACUGCAAAGAGAGAAACUGAAUGACACGCAGCUUGUCAGACAUGGCAGUUUCGAAACCAGUCAACUGGUUGACAUUUUUUCGGGCGAAAGUAGCAAACUUGAAGAAGAAACAAAUUUGGUCCGAGUUACCUCCCCAUCCACUGUGCACUGGCAAGGAAACCAAGACAUUGGACAUGUGCAAUGAUACAGCUGCCUGCAAACACCCACUUCCGGUGGCUGACAGCCAAGAAAACAUCCGCAAUAUUCUUACGCCCGUGACCAAACUCAAAGAGGGGGCACUGCAGAGGAUAAAGGGAGUUUUCAACAUACAGGAGAGGAGGAAAUAUGCCUUUGUGACGGCAGCGUCAGCGGAUCACUUUGAUGAAUCCCAGGAGAUGAUCAUGACUCUGGAUAAAUACAUCUUCCCUUAUCUGAGCAACUACUCGUUCUAUUAUUACGACAUGGGUCUGAACAAAAGUCAGGUGAAACUGGUAUGGUCUCUGGGAUUCAUCGACCUCGAAUGCUGACGGAUUAUCUCCUGUGGUUUGAGAGGUUUCUUUUUAUCAUGAGUAUCCCAUCUGAAGGUUUGCUCGCCUCCUUUCCGUCGGAUACAGAUGCAUUAAGGAGUAAAGCAGGAUAAGCUACAGAAGUAUGGAAGAGCUGAAAUAAAACGCUAUCCUUCUAAUUUACUUCCUGAUCGGUUUUCGUACUUGAGGUGUUACACGUGGAAGCCCGUUGUGAUACAGGCUCAUUUUGACAAUGCUGAGUACACAAUUUGGUUGGACGCAUCUGGGCGGUUCGACAAAGGCAACCUACGUGAAAUGUUCGACUUGCUGAAAGAAACAGGCGUGCUUUUGUCUCCAUGGCCAAAAUAUCCUUUUGCCCAACAUUGCUCAAAGUAUAUGUUUUCCUACUUCAACACUGAACCAUGUCACUUUUCAGUUUAUCAUGAAUCUGAAGCCAAUGUUAUUAUGUUACACAACCAGCCAUUCACACGACGACUUGUAAUGGAUCCAUGGGUGUCAUGCGCAGUGGAUCCGAACUGUAUGUGCCAUCCAGGUGCAACAAAACUGUAUUUUUGUUCAUUCGGCAAAAGGAGGUAUGGGAAAUGUCACCGGUAUGACCAGUCUGCCCUCAACUUGAUUCUUUUACAGCUGUUGAGAAGGAAUAUACAUUCUAUACAGUAUGUGAAAAAGAAAUAUGCACAUGUUUCGCGGAAAAAAGGAGAGUUGUAUCUCAAUAACAUGUUCAAAGAAUAACUGUGACGUGUGUAUGUACAGGUAAAUGUGAAUGUGCCAGUACAUGCACAGGCUUUGUCUUGCUCGGGAACAUCUGUUGAUUUAAGUGAUACAGUACUGCAGGCAGAGCAAGUUGCACUUGCUGACAGUUUAAACUUUUGAUAUCUACAAUAUAUUCCAAGGUUUUCUUUUUCAUUCAAAUUCUAUGUAUGAUCUUAAUUAGGUAGUUCCUGAACAACCUGUAGGUAGGUCGAGCAGGCUGUGGCACCACGUGAAGAAAACUCUCCUCAUUGGUCCAAGUGCAAUCAUUAAGCCAGUAUGUCCUUGUGAUGUCAUGCAGCCUGCCGCUACGUCCACACGGUAUCAUUAAGCCUGUCGGUAUGUCUAAAUGGUACCAUUAAGCCUGCAAGUGCCGGUGAUGUCAUGAAGCCUGCCUGUAUAUUCAUGUAUUGUACAUAAGCCUGCUGGUGUGACCAUAUGGUAUCACUAAGCCUGCAUGUCCAUGUGAUGUCUAUAAACACGUCAGUAUGUGUGGUAUCAUUAAGCCUGCUAGUUUGUCAACGUGGUGUCAUUAAGUCUGUUCAAUGGCGACAUGGUAUGACACAGGCUUUGGGGAAUUUUUUGUUUCUGUAUUACAUACACUGCAUCAUCAUGCUUGGUUUACUUUUGUUUUAUUCUACUUAUGUGUAUGGUGCUGGUGGAAAUCAUCAGAGUAUGGUCAAGGGUAGGAUAUAAAAUUUGUUUGGGCGUAUCCCUCGUGCCUCUAAUUUCUAAAAGCUUGUCGGUCAGCUAAUCAUGGGUUUCAUUUGUGAAUAGUUGACAAGACUUUGCAUGUGUUUGGGAAGGAUGUCAUCUGUGGGGCAGGACACACUCCUUCAUUGCGAGCCCCUGAUAUCAUCAUUAUUUGACGAUGACUGAGAUACACGUACUCGGGGUAUGCAGUCAAAGUCGUCCAAUACACUCUGCUCCUGGAUUUCCUGUGUACGUGGAAGUGGUUAUGUUUCUUUAUGGUUUGUUUACAUAUUUGAUCGGGUUUCACAAUUUACACCAUGGUAUUUACACGCAUGGUGACAACCACAAGAUUACCUGGUCCAGACUUGACUUGUUUACAAACAGCAUCGUACAGCUGUAAUACUGCUGAAAUAAAUAUUUACUCAUGAUAUAAUCAUAACUGUACAAUCGACUCUGUUUGAGGAGAGGUCUUUUAUGGAUGUGGAAAUGGUUUUGUCGCUUCUAUUCUAUAGUCGAUGUAUACGUUGGUGAAUAGGUUUGUUAUGUAUGGUAAAUUGUGCAACGUUUUAUAAUAAUAUCCCUCAUUUUCGUUCAAAAUACUGCAUAUUGACACAUCAUCCCUGCUUCGAGAUGGCUUUUUUCAGACCCAGUAUAUUCCAUGGCUCACAAACUCCUGAAUGGUUGGCCUGUGAUGCAACAAAGAAAUAAAGCACGGCUUCUCUACAUACUUACUUUUCCGAUGGGAUCAGUGUGACGGUUGACUUCAUUAUGUACUUAUUAUAUUAACGAUGGUUGUAUUAUUCAUGAUAUUGACUAUGAGUGCUUGAAAUGUAUUUGUGUUUAUUUCUUGUUCUGUUUUAAAGAAUUCCACAACAAAAUAAACCUGGUACUCAAAAAACCAUCCAAUUGUAGUUCUGCAUCCAUUUAAUCGAAGUUCUUUAAUCCAUGAAAGUGUUGAAGCAGGUAUCCAAGCUGUAGAGAAAUCGGAAAUAAAAUCACAGAAGCAGAUCUGAAAUCGGCCUCGUCUCGUUGCCAGAAUUCGAGAAAGGGCGUCCUCAAAGCCAGCAAUUUACUUGCAUUUAGUGCAUGACAGCUGUAAACCAGAUCUUCAGGGCAUAUCCUUCCAUAGAGGGAGUGAACACUGCCGUUGACUAGUGACACCACUGCUCUAGAACUCCUUUCCACAACACAUCCAACUGUCUUCUUUCCACGUUUUCUUAUCAAACUCUAAUUAAAAACGUUGAUGUAUUGCCCCAUGACAAGAGAUUAUCAUCACGCUUCACGCUUCAAAUGAAAGAAGGAUGGGUUAAGUGGCCAUUCUUCUGUGCUUGGUUAACUUACAAAAUCCAAUCUCACUCUCCUCACAACCUCACAACGUGACAAAAAAGUGAAAAAAGGUCACCCUGUCAAUUUGCUAGCAUGGAUUAUUUUCACGAUUGAUGAGCACUGUUAAAAAAUGAGCGAGUUAAAUUGUACGCUGCGUCGGCAUUAUUUCAAGCACAAAGCACGUUCUGCACUUACAGACAACUCCAUUUUAAUUACAAAGUUUUGUAAAAUGCAUAUUUCUUCAUUACAGUAUUAUUUGCAAGUAUAACAGGUCAUAACAUCAGUAUUGUUCCAUAGGCUUAUAAUGUAUGUGUACAGAACCUUUUUU